GUGCUCUCUAGCCAUGAUGAGAGCACGGCACACAGCUCAGUAACACGUGGCUAACCUGCCCUCGGGACGGGAAUACCCCCGGGAAACUGGGGCUAAUUCCCGAUAGGUGAAGAACUCUGGAAUGAGUCUCCGCCCAAAAGACGCUUAGAUCAUGCUUCUAGGCGCCGCCCAAGGAUGGGGCCGCGACCGAUCAGGUUGUUGGUGAGGUAACGGCCCACCAAGCCUUUAACCGGUGCGGGCCGCGGGAGCGGGAGCCCGGAGAUGGGCACUGAGACAAGGGCCCAGGCCCUACGGGGCGCAGCAGACGCGAAAACUUUGCAAUAAGCGAAAGCUUGACAGGGCUAUCCCGAGUGCCAUCCGCUGAGGAAGGCUUUUACUCAGUCUAGAACGCUGGGGGAAUAAGGAGAGGGCAAGUCUGGUGUCAGCCGCCGCGGUAAUACCAGCUCUCCGAGUGGUGUGGAUGUUUAUUGGGCCUAAAGCAUCCGUAGCUGGCUGAGUUAGUCCUCUAUUAAAUCCACCGAAUCAAUCGUUGGAUUGCGGGGGAUACUGCUCGGCUAGGGGACGAGAGAGGCAGACGGUAUUCCCGGGGUAGGGGUGAAAUCCUAUAAUCCCGGGAGGACCACCAGUGGCGAAGGCUGUCUGCUAGAACGCGCCCGACGGUGAGGGAUGAAAGCUGGGGGAGCGAACCGGAUUAGAUACCCGGGUAGUCCCAGCUGUAAACGAUGCAGGCUAGGUGUUUGGACGGCCACGUGCCGUUCUAGUGCCGCAGGGAAGCUGUUAAGCCUGCCGCCUGGGGGAGUACGAUCGCAAGAUUGAAACUUAAAGGAAUUGGCGGGGGAGCACCACAAGGGGUGAAGCUUGCGGUUUAAUUGGAUUCAA
rnacentral:rRNA from 1 species